UUACGGCCACACCACGUUGAAACACCGCCUCCCGUAAGAUCACCGAAGUUAAGCAACGUCGAGUCUGGUCUGUGCGUAGAUGGAUGACUGCUUGGGAAUAUCAGGUGCUU